rnacentral:lncRNA from 1 species
UGCUAUAUCAAAAUAACUGGUUGUCAUGUUAAAAUAUUAAGUUUUUUUUAACUCAAAUUCCCAUGAAUUUCAUGGAAAAUACUGAAAGAUAACAGAAAUUCUUUAUACAAAUUGUGUUUGUAUUUCUUCUAUGCCUGCUUGUAAAGGCAAUACUUUUUGGGGUUCCCCAUAGUAAAGCAUGCGCAUUGACUAUCAUUAACGUUAAAUUCACAUAGAAUGCAAGACAGAAUAAAGUAUUGACAUAUAUUUUACGAAAGAUAUAUGUCAUAAAAAAAUAUGAAACAUUCCAUGCCCUGUGAAAUACUGGUAUUUUAACACAACAUGCUUAUAUGUAUCCCGUUUGUGGUUUGUUUAUUUAUGCUUUUAAGAUUUUUGUCUUUUUGUCUUUUGUUGUUGAAGCAAAUCUGUUGAAGUUUAACAUAUGGUGCGAAGUUUUUCUAUCUAUAGGUGAUUUCACUCAUAUGUAUAUGUUCUAUAAACGUAGGCGGUAAAAACUAAUAACAUAAUUCACAAAAAUUAUCAUCAUGACAUAAAUAUGUGUAUCAAAGUCUAAUCUUAAAAUGGGAUAGGUUUAUCGACAACCUAAAUGGUCUGUACUUUAAAUAGUUGUAUUGCUAAAUAGUGAAAACGAUACAUUACGAG